AACGCAAAUUGCGCUCGAGGCUUCGGCCAAGAGCAUGUCUGCCUCAGCGUCGGGUAAAAACUCGCUCACAGUUACACUGUGUGCGGACCUGACUGUCUCAUCACAAUCACUUGUGAUGGGUCAGUUGAAGUGUGCAGCUGUUGGUACAUGGACCCGCUAAUGGGCCUCUACUGGGUAGGCAAUCUUUGCUACAUGCUUUAGUAGAUGGCUUAGGAUCCUUGUGUGCUGACACAAAGCAGGAAUAUGCAUCCGUGCAUAUCAAAUCACUUUUCCUCGACCUGAGCUCAGGCAAGAUUACCCGCUGAACUUAA
rnacentral:misc_RNA from 1 species